rnacentral:tmRNA from 1 species
GGGGUAGUCAAGGUUUCGACAGGGGUCUUGCAGCUGGAGAAGCUAUCCGUUGCGACACGUUAAUCGCAAAAUUAAACUAAACGCUGAAGAUAAUUUAGCACUCGCUGCCUAAUGGCAGCUGUCCGCUCUAAAGCACUCACACUUUAGAAUCCGGGCAUCGACUAUGUGAGAAACGACGCAUGCUAAGCUUUGCCCAUGCGGGCGUAAUAUGAAGCUACCCUCACCUGCAGAUUGUUCAUUUUCUCAGGCUGAGGGGAACAGGAGGAUUUGAGGUCCUCCGGAAAAAUGAACUAUGAUAGUAGAAGGACAGGGAAUGGGCUUUUGGACACGGGUUCGACUCCCGUCUACUCCAU